rnacentral:rRNA from 1 species
UACGUUCCCGGGCCUUGUACACACCGCCCGUCACACCACGAAAGUCGGCAACACCCGAAGCCGGUGGCCUAACCCUCUGGGAAGGAGCCGUCGAAGGUGGGGUCGGUGAUUGGGGUG